rnacentral:lncRNA from 1 species
GAGCUCAAGGGUUGUAAACAAUGGAAGUUCUUCUUUCUCUUCAUUUGUAAAUGUAGAUUUUAAGCAGAACCGUAUAAAUCAUUUCGUGUUUCGUGUUUUUUGGUUUCAUUUUUUUUACUUUUUUCUCCCUAUUAUUAUUAUUUGUUGUAUUUUUCACAACAAAAUGGUAUUAUAGUACAAAUUAUUAGACCUAAAAUGGAAGAAACAUAUUUUUUUUAUGACAUGUUAAGAUGCAUGCUUAUUGGUUCAACAAGGAUUGUCCAAAGCAUUGAAAGGUAGAAAGACUCUACUAAUAAUGAAAAAAAUCCCAACAUUAGAUAAUCCAAUAGAUAUGAUGACUAAGCUAAUUCAUACAGUAAAAUUCAAAGCAUUAUUUGGACUUAAUUGAUGUUGGUAGCACUUGAAGGCCCUUUAUAAGUGUGCAAGCAAAGUAACAUGGAAGAAUUUAGAGUUUAUUCGAUAAUUUCAAAUAUUGAGAAUUUGAGUUAAGGUGAAAAUUAUUAGAAAAUGUCUUAAAUUCUAUUUUUGAGUAAAUUUGAAAGUCAUCUGUAAUUUCCUAAUACGAUAUAUUUUUGUGAGGGAAUUUCCAAUGAAUAUAAAGAAAAUAUAUUAUUAUGAAAUCUUUUUUAGGAUUUUGUAUGUUUUAACAAUUAUACAAUUAGUUUUCUAUAUAGAAUCUUGCAAUGUAAUCACGAAAAGAUUUUAACUAAAAGUGAGUCUCUUUUUGGGUAUAAUUGAGACUUUGUAAUUUAAGAUUUUUAAGAUUGUAAUCUACUUUAACAAUUGUAGAAGUUCUUUUCCUCUUUACUCAUGAAUAUAUGUUUUUAGUUUCCAUUUUUUCACUCUUUUUUUUUCCUCCUCUGUGGAUAAAAAAUUUAUUAUGUAUCUUAUGGAAACACUCUUAAAUGAAUUUUACUUUAUUGUGAUUAAGAGUUCGUUUGAUAGUGAUUCUAAAAAAUGUUUUUAAUAUUCUUAAUAUUCUAAAUUUUUUAUCAUUCAAGUGUUAAAAAUACUAAAAACGCUUUCUCCAAUCAUUCCCAAACACACUCUAAAAUUUCAAUGCAAAGGAAUCUGACGUCAUUAUUUUCAAUUUUUGUAAUAGUGAAAUAUCACCUAUUUUGGUUAGUAAGAAAUGCCCUAAUUCAAUUAUUUUUCUUAUCAUGAUUUACAGAUUAUGUUUUAGUAACUACGUCAGAUUGAUGAGCAAAGAGAAUGUUAUCAAACACUAUCUAUAUUGGCAGCUGCCCUCUGCAUGGAAAUAUUAUUAGUACUGUAUCUAAAGGGAGCCUCACUUGACUCUCUACAAUCACAGGAAUGAUGAUAUACUUAACAUUAUUAGAGAUCGACAAUUCUAACUUGACUGCUAGUGGGUGAGUUUCUUAGGGCUCUUUUAACAUUAUUGAAAAGGAAAAGUGUAUACACCAGAAAGAGUGAUAACUAUUCUCAAUCAAAGAUGCUAACCCCAAAGGAUCCAAACCUUAUUGAUAGCUCCCGUAGUGUUUUUUCAAUUUAGUUUCAAUCUAAGGUGGUGUUUAUUUAUUUUGGCUUUUUAUUGAAAAUAAUUUAUUUUCAGAAUUUAGGUCAUUUGUUUUUCUACUUUUUCAUAACUUAUUAUAAACUUUUUACUAAAUAAAAAAAAAUCAAAAUAUGUAACUUUUUCUAAAUAGAAAAAAUAACAUAUUGAUUUUUUUUUACUUUUUAAUAUUUAAUAGAAAUAAAAUACUAUAAAAACAAACAACUUAACAUUUAACACUAUUAAGUAUUAAAGUUCUAUUUAUAAUUAAGUAAAAAAACAAACACCAUUUAAGCCUUUUUCUGCUAUGAUUUUAUUGUUUUUUUUUUAUGAAAAACCAAAAAAAAACAAAAGAAGACUUCAUGCUUUAACCGGGAGGAUCUCUUUCUAUCCCAGCCCGUUUGGCCAAGGGUGAGUACAAAUUCUGACGUUUGAAGUGAGUAGGGGUGUAGCAGAUUCAUGCACGUCGAAUACAGAUGCAGUUGGACGAGUAGUCGCGGAUUCACAGUGCCGGUUAAAAAGCCAGUCUUAGGGUUCCUUCGCAGGUCCCAUCUUCACCAGCGGCUUUUUAUGCGCAGCAUAUCGAGACCGAGUUGAUGGUACCAGUGAACCGUCGAAGGUAUCAAAGGUGUUAGGUCCUAUAAUGAAUGGAUCCGAAUCCGCUUGGUCAACUUUUUCCAUUGCGGCUUGCUCUGAUGCAUUCUAUCUGAUAGUAAGGUGUGUGGAUACUUAAGCCUUUAGUGUCCAUAGCCUAUAGAGUAAGGCACUUACUCCUGCUCCUGGACAAAACACUUCUUAUUCUUCACCUGAGCUAA